AACGAACGCUGGCGGCGUGCCUAACACAUGCAAGUCGAACGAACGUAGCAAUACGUUAGUGGCGCACGGGUGAGUAACACGUGGGAAUCUGCCUUAUAGUUCGGAAUAACACCGGGAAACUGGUGCUAAUACCGGAUACGCCCUUCGGGGAAAGGUUUUCGUCUAUAAGAUGAGCCCGCCGUUGGAUUAGCUAGUUGGUGGGGUAAGUGGCGUCACCAAGGCGACGAUCCAUAGCUGAUCUGAGAGGAUGAUCAGCCACACUGGGAUUGAGAUACGGCCCAGACUCCUACGGGAGGCAGCAGUCGAGAAUAGUCUACAAUGGUCGGAAGACUGAUAGUGCGACGCCGCGUGAACGAUGAAUCCUUCGGGUGUAAAGUUCUUUAUAUGUGAGCAGUGCUUCUUAUAUUAACAGUAUGGGGAGAGAGAUAUUAGCAUAUGAAUAAGCAACGGCUAACUCCGUGCCAGCAGCCGCGGUAAAACGUCUA
rnacentral:rRNA from 1 species